rnacentral:rRNA from 1 species
UACGUAGGGCGCAAGCGUUGUCCGGAAUUAUUGGGCGUAAAGAGCUCGUAGGCGGCUUGUCACGUCGGGUGUGAAAGCCCGGGGCUUAACCCCGGGUCUGCAUUCGAUACGGGCAGGCUAGAGUGUGGUAGGGGAGAUCGGAAUUCCUGGUGUAGCGGUGAAAUGCGCAGAUAUCAGGAGGAACACCGGUGGCGAAGGCGGAUCUCUGGGCCAUUACUGACGCUGAGGAGCGAAAGCGUAGGGAGCGAACAGG